CGACACCUAUGGAGCAUCUAGAAUUGCUGCAGACCUCCUGAAGUGCACCACACUUGCUGUGCUCCUAGUUUUCGGCGCGUACCCGACAGCACAGAACAACUACCCAAUAAUCCGUCAUGGUCCUUUAUACACUCUUCUCGAUGUCGCCCAAGUGGUACUACUUCUAGUGACGGCAUCCCUUGGAGCUGCAAAAGGCAUUUUCACGCUGCUAGCGAGCAACAUGGAAAAUCUGACCGUAGUGACGAUAAUAGGAGUCACGGCAAAUUUUGCCGUGGGAUUGUCAUACGCAAUCGUGUUGUUGCUCGUGUGGGAACGAUGGAGACGAUGCCUGCCGCCAUCGGGAUUCGCAUGCAGCUUACUUGGUUAUAUGACGGCCGCUAUGGUUUUGGACGCACAUCAGGACAUGGAAGCAAUCCGAACCCGAAAGGAAAUCGAACUUAACAAGGACGUUCUCACAGAAGUGAACUUACUUAUCAGCUUCCUACUUGUUGUCUGGACAUCAGGAAAUUUCAUUGUCGCCGGCGUGCGUGAUCUGGUGAUAUCAAGAUCGAGCCUA
rnacentral:lncRNA from 1 species